rnacentral:rRNA from 1 species
CCCUUAGAUGUUCUGGGCCGCACGCGCGCUACACUGAUGCAUUCAACGAGCCUAUCCUUGACCGACAGGUCCGGGUAAUCUUUGAAUCUGCAUCGUGACGGGGAUAGAUUAUUGCAAUUAUUAAUCUUCAACGAGGAAUGCCUAGUAGGCGCAAGUCAUCAGCUUGCGUCGAUUACGUCCCUGCCCUUUGUACACACCGCCCGUCGCUCCUACCGAUUGGGUGUGCUGGUGAAAUGUUCGGAUCGGCCGUUUGUCGCGGUUUCCGCGGCUCGUGGCUGAGAAGUUCAUUAAACCCUCCCACCUAGAGGAAGGAGAAGUCGUAACG